CACAAGUAGCUUGGACUACAAGCAUGUACCCUUGUGCCCAGAAAUAGAUAAUAUUAAUAACAGCAUACAGAUAUGAAAAUCAGUUUUCAGGAAUGCAAUGCCAUGCAAUAGGGUUCAAAUUAUCAAGUGAGAGUGCAAAUCCAAGGAAAACUGGGAAGAGAGGGAUUUAGUGACACAGCUCUCUCUUGUUCAUUCUUGGUGAUCAUCACUAGAUUCUGGUCUUACAAGACUGGCCAGAUGAGGAAUAUGAUUUCUAUAAGAAAUGAGAGAUCUGAGAAUGAAGGUACUCUCUAAGUCAGUGACCCUUCAUCAGAAUUUCCCCACCUCAGAUCCCCCAAGUCAGAAUCUCUGAAAAUAUCAUGUGGACAUAUGAAUAGGGUAAAGGAUGACGGAAGUGUUCAUACAUAUUAACAUCCUUAAAAGCAUCUAAUAAUCAACUGCAUGCCCACUUAGAAAACAUAAAGACCAAAGGCAUAUUUUUGUAGGUAUUCUAUAGUUAUGGAUAUUGUAAAUAAACAUGCUUGUUGGGGGUACUCAUCAUUUGUCUCUUUUGUAAAGUCUAUAGUUCUGAAGUGAUUGGCUGCCAUUGCAUUUUCUCCUCUUUUACUUAAAGUAUGACCAGAAUAAUUAAUGAAUGAGGCUAAUCUAGGAAGCAAGUAAAAGGGGGCUGAUAGAGGGGCACUAGAUCAGUGGAAUUGUUGAGUGCCUUAAAUCUCAAAGCCUUCUGCACAAUACAACUUACUUUAAAUCUUCCCUUUCAGAAGGCAUCAAAUUCAGAGAGGAUAAGAUGUAUGCAUUUGAUAGAUGCAAGUGUUUACCUUAAGACUGAAGUUCUGUUUCCUUUAUGCUCAUGUUGUACCAGGAACAACCACGGAAUUUUUAAACACACUAUAGUCUGCUUCCGCAGCUCUCUGUUUAUUCAGUAUUGCUUUAGAAUUGUUUAUAUCCCUGUCUGGAAGAAGUCAUUCUGCUUCUCAGACAAUAUAAAAAAAAAGUCAGAAAUAUCAGCUAAAGACGUGAGUUUUUUCAAACAGAAGAAAAAUCUGAUAGUGUAUAUUCAAAUGAACUGAUUUGGAAGCAGGAAGUAAAUUUCAGAACUAUAUAAAUAAGUUAGAAAAGCUUAAAAAUAUUAUCAGCCUGGAAUUCACCUAAAAUUUGUUAUAAAGUCCUUUUGGAUAUCAUAUCUUUUUGAAGGAAUACUGGCUAAAAAUUUAAUAUGGGUCUUUCAGUAGUGGUAUUAUACAUAACAUUGGUAUUUCAGUGGUGAUAUUAUAUAUAACAACUCAUUUCUUAUUUUUGCCAUUGACUUAAUCUAGAGCAGUGUUUCUCAAACAAUUUUCCUUUGCAACAUGCCAAACUUAGAUUUUUCAACUUCUAAAAUCCAGCAACAGAUCUCUUUUCACUCUAAAUAAUAAUAAUAAAAAAACCUCAAGUACUUUUUUAUUUAUUUACAGGUGUUAUUUAUCUGCUCAUAAAUGCUGAUAGUCAAGAACAAAAUGAACAAGUCACAAGAUAUUGAAAACAAACAUCCUUAGGAGCAGCUGAUCCUGGUGUGCCAGGCUGGCUUCUUUGAGAUGUGAAAUUGUGAUUCUUCAUUAUAUUGCUUAAGUCAAAUGUCACGUGGUAUGAUAGGAGGCGUGUUCCUAUGAUAGAAUUAUCAUCAGCAGUAGGAAGCCCAGAAUCAAAAUGGACACUCAGUUGGAGCAGCCGCACUAGCCUGCCAGACAUAGGUGACAUAUCCAAGUGCUUGUCCUUCAUCAGAUGUUUCUAUAAGCAGCAGAGCAGAAAGCUCUAAUAUCUAUUCAUUCGUAAUGUGUCAUUCUGAAUGUAUUAAGGAUAACUGACUUCACAUGUCAUAGGUAAUUAUUCUAAGGAGAAACAGUCAUAUCAUUUUAAGGACCAUUGUAUGCAGUUAUCUCCAUGGAGGAAUAAAAAGAACAGGUACUUCUGGAACAGAGGCUACAUCUUAUUCCAAGUUUUUAAUGGGUUCAGAAUAUUUUGGCCAUGUCUACAUGAUAAAAAUAAAAUGUUUUCCCCACUCAAAGCAACUGCAGAUUUGUGAAUGUGGGGUGUGUGUGUGUGUGACAGAGAGAGAGAGAGAGAGAGAGAGAGAGAGAGAGAGAGAGAGAGAAACACAAAAAUGGCUAAGCUCCCCCUGACCUACCUUCUCAUUUCUGAAACUGAAACUGAAAAUUCCUUGCUUGGGACACUAGGGAUCUGUUCUGUCUGGGCAUGCAGCCGUAUUGGGGGCAUGCCCAAGGGGACUGUGCCUUAGCUCCUAAAGUAUGCUGCCCCAGGACACCAGUGCCCCCAUCCCUUCUUGUCAUCCAAGUUAACUACAAUCUGAGAAUGUCUCCUGAACAUGCAUCUGAUGAUAAUCUCUCAUUGUAAUGAUUGCCGAGAAAGUAACCAAGGUGUGGCUUUAGAACAAUCCGUUCUUUCAAAAUUAUAAAACCACUCUAAGGAAACCUUAAUUUUGGUGUCUAGAAUUAAAACAAAACAAAAAUAAAAACAAAAAAACAAAAACACUUGCAGUUUCAGAAAGGCCUUUGUUCCAAACACAGUCUCUAACUCUUCUCUCCUGUUCAUUUGCCACUGGCUGUGUCUCAACCAAUGAGGUGCUCCUGCUCAAAAGCUGAGAGCUCUGCUGACCCUGUUUCUGUCCAGUCAAAACACACCUGUCUUCAAAGAGCCAUAUGUUUCACAGGAAGAGUUCAUUCCCCUCCAUACCCAGAAGAAGGCUGAUACCAUGUGUUUCUCUAAACUUGGACGCAAGGAAGAAGAGUCCAAAAUAUCAACAGGGAAGAAUCUGCAAGGAAUAACCGAGAAGAAAAACUAACAUCUUGCAUCACAGAGAGUUGGUUUCCCCUUUAAACUCUUCCACCAACUUGGAGGGCACCAGCAUGGAAAAAUACAGAAUAGAAGUGGUUACUGGUAUCAGAAGAAAACUGGAAUUCUACAAAUAUACAUCAGGAUCCUACUCUGUCCCACUAUCAUUUUCAUUUAAAUAGCCACAGGUGGCUAAUGGCUGUCAUAUUGGACAAUGUGCCAGGGAUCAAUGUGCCACCUUCAUCAUGUGAGGAUACAUGCAGCAAGAAGACACCAUCCAUGAGGCACAGGCCCUGACAGAUACCAAAUCUGCUGGCACCUUCAUCUUAGACUUCCCAGCCUCCAGAACUG